UCGGAAUAAACGAAUCGAAUAACAAAUACCACUAAAAACCCGGAUAUCCGCUCCGUGCCCACCCCUACAUGUAAUGGAUUAUCACUAUUUUAUUUUUGGUAAAGAACGCACGUUUUUUUGUACACCGCCCUUCUAGAAGCCCAACCCCACACACACAUACUCUUACGUCAUUUGCAUACAAACUCCCGUCUUCUGGAACCAAUGAAAUCACUAUUACAAAAGUUGCUCUUAAAAGAAAAACAAAAUACAAAGAAACCAUUUUUAUAUUGUCGUCAAUAAUAAUGGCCACUUUCUGAUUACAUAUAUAUGAAUGUAUAUACUACUAUAAUACGUAGCUGCUCGUGUUUCUUGUCUCAGUUCUCUGU
rnacentral:lncRNA from 1 species